UACGGGGGGGGCGAGCGUUGUUCGGAAUUACUGGGCGUAAAGGGUUUGUAGGUGGUCUGCUAAGUCAGACGUGAAAUCCCUCAGCUUAACUGGGGAACUGCGUCUGAUACUGGCGGACUUGAGGACAGGAGAGGAACGCGGAAUUCCAGGUGUAGCGGUGAAAUGCGUAGAGAUCGGGCGGAACACCAGCGGCGAAGGCGGCUGCCUGGGCCUGGCCUGACGCUGAGGCGCGAAAGCGUGGGGAGCAAUCCGG
rnacentral:rRNA from 1 species